CGAACGGGUGAGUAAUGCGUGACCAACCUGCCCCAUGCUCCAGAAUAGCUCUUGGAAACGGGUGGUAAUGCUGGAUGCUCCAACUUGACGCAUGUCUUGUUGGUAAAGUGUUUAGUGGCAUGGGAUGGGGUCGCGUCCUAUCAGCUUGUAGGCGGGGUAAUGGCCCACCUAGGCUUCGACGGGUAGCCGGCCUGAGAGGGCGGACGGCCACAUUGGGACUGAGAUACGGCCCAGACUCCUACGGGAGGCAGCAGUC
rnacentral:rRNA from 1 species